rnacentral:rRNA from 1 species
UACGUAGGGUGCGAGCGUUAAUCGGAAUUACUGGGCGUAAAGCGUGCGCAGGCGGUUCGUUGUGUCGGCGGUGAAAGCCCCGGGCUCAACCUGGGAAUGGCCGUUGAAACUGGCGAACUGGAGUGUGGCAGAGGGGGGGUGGAAUUCCGCGUGUAGCAGUGAAAUGCGUAGCGAUGCGGAGGAACACCGAUGGCGAAGGCAGCCCCCUGGGCUGACACUGACGCUCAGGAGCGAAAGCAUGGGGAGCGAACAGG